rnacentral:rRNA from 1 species
UACGGAGGGUGCGAGCGUUGUCCGGAAUCACUGGGCGUAAAGGGUGCGUAGGCGGCUGGAGGAGUCCGUGGUGAAAGCUCGUGGCUCAACUGCGAGUCGGCCAAGGAUACUCUUCAGCUUGAGCACUGUAGAGGCAGAUGGAAUUCCGGGUGUAGCGGUGGAAUGCGUAGAGAUUAGGAAGAACACCAGUGGCGAAGGCGACUUACUGGACUGUAACUGACGCUGAGGCAUGAAAGCGUGGGGAGCAAACAGG